rnacentral:lncRNA from 1 species
CAGGCAUCAAUUUUCAAUUUGACAUUAACUACGAAAGGAAAUGAUGAAGUAAAAUUCCUAAGUAUUGAGCUGUCACUGGAGAAAAGAUUUAUGUUAGUCUCUGGCAUCAAAUCAUGACUCAGAUCGUCACUAGUAGGCACACCAUUUCUUUUCUUUGACACUUUUAGGAGCCUGAUAGGAGAGGAUUCUGGAUUUGUCGAAGUGUACACUUCCUUCUGUGCACUUAUCUGAACGGUUCGUGAAGAGCAUCCUUUCAAUCUAAGUAUGUAUCUCAAGGAGACUCACUCACCAAUGCCAGCACUUCAGCACACCCGCAGAAGGAGUGCAUGGACUCCAUGACCACAUUGCAAAGACUGACUUCUGUCUGCACAAGAAAUUCAGAGACCAGUAGUUCCCUCCCGGCAUGGACAGAAAAACUUCCCUGCAGCCUCUUUCCAUUUAGUCUGGUGAAAUUGAACGUAAACUGCCCUGAGGGCAAGCUGGAUCCCAGCUGGAAUCUCACCCUGUUGCUAGGCUUCGCCCAACAGCCCACUACUUUGUCUUCACAUCCAUACAAGGACUGUGUAAGGAAAAGAGCAGUUAUGGAACCAUGGGAGUUCAGAGAAGAGGAAACUGCUCCCAUCCAGGGGGAGAGAAGACAGAAGGCUUCGUGGAGCUUUGACUAUGCCAAAGUGUUGGGAAGGAAAUUCUCUGUGACUGGAACAGGAUGGACAGAGAUACAGAGGCAAGAGAUCAAAGAAUAGAAAUGUAAACACAGAGGGUAAGAGUAGAAAUCGUGAGUUUCACUGACACCUCUGAUUCCAGACCCAUCUCACAGGGCGCUUCCUUGCUUUCCCCCAUUCUAUCUUUGCACAUCUCUUCCUCACAGUGAGGACUUUGGCUCCCAAAAUAUUGACACAUUUACUCAUAUGCUCAUUUCUACAACAUUCAUCGCCACACCUAUGUCACUACAAAAAACAAAUCUACCAAAAAGAAUUCAAGAUUUGUUGACAGUUCUUUUUUUUUCCCCCUAGACUGAGGGUACAUGGUCAAAGAACUAUAUUCAAAAAUUGCCCUGAUAAUUCUCGCCCUCCCCCACCUCUAUUCAGCAUGGCUGUGCUAGUCCUUUGAAAUACAGAUG